UAAUGGGACGAAGGGGAGGGGAGUGUGGAGGGAGGGCACCCAGGAAGUGAGCUGGGUGGGUCAGUGGGAGGGAGGAGAGGUUUAGGGAUCUAGAGCUGUGGGGGAUCUCAGACCCUUAACCCCAAAUCCCUGCCCAAGCCUCAGGUAAAUCCUAAACUUCAGCAUAACUACUCCCACAAAGCCUCAACUUAAUAUAAGGCCCUGAACUGUAGCAAGCUUAGGCUAUGUUUACACUACUGCGGCCAGUCAACCUGCACUACGCAACUCCAGCUACAAGAAUAACAGCUGGAGUGGACAUACCUUAGGUCGAGUUACAGCAGGGUGUACACCGUGGGGGGUCGACGGGAGAGCUUCAGGGGUAGAGUCAGGAGUAGAGAACUGGAGAGCGAUUUGCAGUCGAUUUGGCAGGUCUUUAUUAGAGCCGCUAAAUCGACCACCGGUGGAUCAAUCUCAGAGCGUCGAUCCCGGAUGUAGUGUAGACCUGCCCUUAAUAACCUAUUUAUUUAUGUUCACCUCCUUGCCCCUCCAGGCAUGUUCCAAGCUAAUAAGCAAUACUGUGAUAAUGGCAUUUUUACCUCUAGCGAGUAUAAAAUUGCCCACAAGACAUGAGACUAGGGCCUGGUCUACACUAUGAGUUUAAUUCGAAUUUAGCAGCGUUAAAUCAAAUUAACCCUACACCCGUCCACACAACGAAGCCAUUUAUUUUGAAAUAAAGGGCUCUUCAAAUCGAUUUCUGUACUCCUCCCCGACGAGCGGAGUAGCGCCAAAAUCGAUAUUGUCAUUUCGAAUUAGGGUUAGUGUGGCCGCAAUUUGAUGGGAUUGGCCUCCGGGAGGUAUCCCACAGUGCACCAUUGUGACUGCUCUGGACAGCAAUCUGAACUCUGAUGCACUGGCCAGGUAGACAGGAAAAGCCCCGCGAACAUUUAAAUUUCAUUUCCUGUUUGCCAAGCACAGGAGAGCAUAGGUGACCACAGAGAGCUCAACACAGAUAACCAUGCAGGCCGAUAAUCGAAAAAGAGCACCAGUGUGGACCGUACGGGAGGUACUGGAUCUGAUGGCUAUAUGGGGAGAGGAUUCAGUGCUAGCAGAACUUCGUUCGAAAAGACGAAAUGCCAAAACUUCUGAAAAAAUCUCCAAGGGCAUGGUGCAGAGACGCCACAAUAGGGACUCAGAUCAGUGCCGCGUGAAAGUCAAGAAGAUCAGACAAGCCUACCAGAAAACAAAGGAGGCAAACGGUCGCUCCGGGUCAGAGCCUCAGACAUACCGCUUCUACGCUGAGCUGCAUGCAAUUCUAGGGGGAGGCCGCCACCACUACCCCACCUCUGACCGUGGAUUCCGAGGCAGGGGUAAUCUCAUCAGCCACACCUAAGGAUUCUGCGGAGGAGGAGGAGGAGGAGGACGAGCUUGCGGAGAGCACACAGCACUCCGUUCUCCCCAACAGCCAGGAUCUUUUUCUCAACCUGACUGAAGUACCCUCCCAAACCAGUACCCAAGACCAUGAUCCAAUGGAAGGGACCUCAGCAGCUGCAAAUUUUUCAAGCCUCCCUCCUUUGUCCCGAAGGCCAUCUCCGAUAAGGCGGCGGAGAAAGAGGAUGCGAGACGAGAUGUUCUCGGAAGUAAUGGAAUGCACCCGCAAUGAAAGAGCUCAUUUGAAUGAGUGGAAGGACACGGUAUCUAAGUACAGGAAAGAUGCCAGUGAACGUGAGGUCAUGAGGGACGCUCGAGAUGAGAAGUGGCAGGCUGCAACGCUGGGCUGCAGCAUGAUCAAACGGACAUGCUCCGGUGUCUGGUGGAGCUUCAGGAACGGCAGCAGGAUAACAGACUGCCGCUGCAGCCGCUGUAUAACCUCCCUCCCCCCUCACCAUGUUCCAUAGCCUCCUCACCAAGACGUGUAAGAACGUGGUGGGGGAGGCUCCGUGCACCCUCCCACUCCACCCCAGUGGACAGCCCAAGCAUAAGGCUGUCAUUAUGUUGAAUUUUUUCAGUGGCCUUUUACUUCCCUCCUAUCCUCCUCUCAAACCUCACCCAGGUUACCUUGUCGGUUCUCUCCCUAUGUUUAUAAUCAAUUAAUAAAGAAUACAUGAUUUUUAAACGA